AAAAAUAUUUAUAAAUAGCACUCUGUUUUUGUAUUUUUGGAAGAAUUUAUAAUUAAACAUUUACCCCUGUAUUUUUUCUUUUUACACAUUCUUCCUUUUUCUUUUAAUCAGUUUCAAAAGAGACGAGACAUUUGGCUCUGCUAGGGUUCUUGCCUCCUUCUACCAAGUCGCUGGUUCUUUAUUCCUCUCCCUCUGUGGUCCCUAUCUCUGAUCAUCGUGCACCGUCGUUGGUUCUCUGCUUCUCACCGUGCGCCGUCGCUACUGCUCUGCUCCUCCCCAUGUCUCGCGUUCGUUGGUGGGUGAUCUCGCCAUGUCUUGCUUCCGUGUCUGCUCGAAGUCGAAGCAACAUUUCUUCUCUUGUCUGGACUCACUCUGGCUCUCUGCUUUAGUUCGGUAGUUCAAUUCAGCCUUCCCCAAUUAAAUCUUGUGUAAAAUAUGGAUGAUGGACUGCUGAAUCUUUAUUGCUGUUUUUGGUAUUUUAUUUAUUUAAAUUUUUUCGUGGCUAGUCUGAUAGGAUGUCCUUAAAAUUUGUAGUAUUUUAGGCUGCAGAUUGGAGUAGUGCUACUUCCCUUUAUGAACAGGCUGCUAAUCGAUUUAGAGUUGCCAAGGAUUAUGAGAGAUCAAAAGCAGCAUAUGAGAAAGCUUCCAAGGGACAAGAGAUGCUUGCUUCCCCUUGGGAUGCAGCUAAGCACAUGGAAUCAGCUGCUAAUAUGGCAAAGGAACUCAGAAACUGGAGAGAAGUUGUGAGCUUCUCUCGAAAGGGCGUCGGAAUUGUACAUUGAGUGUGGGAGGCCACAACCUGCAUAAGAUGCUCUUGCAAAGAG